CAACUUUCAGCAACGGAUCUCUUGGCUCUCGCAUCGAUGAAGAACGCAGCGAAAUGCGAUAAGUAAUGUGAAUUGCAGAAUUCAGUGAAUCAUCGAAUCUUUGAACGCACCUUGCGCUCCUUGGUAUUCCGAGGAGCAUGCCUGUUUGAGUGUCAUUAAAUUCU
rnacentral:rRNA from 1 species